GAUGAAGAACGUAGCAAAAUGCGAUAAGUAAUGUGAAUUGCAGAAUUCAGUGAAUCAUCGAAUCUUUGAACGCACAUUGCGCCCGCUGGUAUUCCGGCGGGCAUUCCUGUUCGAGCGUCAUUUCAACCCUCAAGCCCCCGGGUUUGGUGUUGGGGAUCGGCUCUGCCCUUCUGGGCGGUGCCGCCCCCGAAAUACAUUGGCGGUCUCGCUGCAGCCUCCAUUGCGUAGUAGCUAACACCUCGCAACUGGAACGCGGCGCGGCCAUGCCGUAAAACCCCAACUUCUGAAUGUUGACCUCGGAUCAGGUAGGAAUACCCGCUGAACUUAAGCAUAUCAAUAAGCGGAGGA
rnacentral:misc_RNA from 1 species